UUUCUCUAAACAUUUCAACUUGCAGAAUUUAAGCAGGAGAGAAUUCUAAUGCCAGAGCUAGAACCGGAACCCUGCCAGCUGUAACUGCUGGACUGCCAUUCUCCCACUGCCAUCUUGUGCUUUCUUCCACCAUUGCCACUCAAGCAAAGACAGUUCAUGUCUGCCUCCAGAAUCUACUUGGAAGAAAGAGUCAUAAACCAAGCAGAUAAAGUACCAAGGGAAGGCAGAGAAGGGAGAGAGGAAUUCUGCUGAGAGAUAAUCCUUCACACAAUUGAUCCUAACCUUGAAGGAUGAAUACAUAGACCAAGAGGAAGAAAGUCCUUUCCAGGCGUCUCUGAAGUGAAGGUGACUCCUGCUUUAUAUGAUAAAUAGACUUCCAUCCAGGAGCGGAUUCUGAAUUGCUGAACAGAAGGAGCUUGGGAGCAGCUCUCCAGUCGGAUGAGUUCACGUGUGUGGGGAGCAGAGGGCAGGUUCUAAGGGACUUGCCUGAAGCUGUGCCUGCAUUCCAGGCGUACAGUUUUUAUGUGGAUUGUAUGUUUAAUGUGGGGUGGUUUGGGGAAAAUAUUGAAAAUUUGGGCAAAUAUUCCUACAACCCCAAACCAAUGGUAAAAAAAAAAAAGACUAUCACAAUUUGGGGACCAUUACUUCCAUAAUCAAGACCUUGAUUACACCAAUAUGCUAAUAUAUAUAAGUGCAUCUCAUCUUUAUCAACAAUUAUCUAUUUUAUCUUAAAUCUUUUAGAAAAAAAGGAAGACUAUGGAAAAGUAUAAAAACAUAUUGACUAAAAUA
rnacentral:lncRNA from 1 species